UGGGGAAUAUUGGCCAAUGGGCGAAAGCCUGAUCCAGCCAUGCCGCGUGUGUGAAGAAGGUCUUCGGAUUGUAAAGCACUUUAAGUUGGGAGGAAGGGCAUUAACCUAAUACGUUAGUGUUUUGACGUUACCGACAGAAUAAGCACCGGCUAACUCUGUGCCAGCAGCCGCGGUAAUACAGAGGGUGCAAGCGUUAAUCGGAAUUACUGGGCGUAAAGCGCGCGUAGGUGGUUUGUUAAGUUGGAUGUGAAAUCCCCGGGCUCAACCUGGGAACUGCAUUCAAAACUGACUGACUAGAGUAUGGUAGAGGGUGGUGGAAUUUCCUGUGUAGCGGUGAAAUGCGUAGAUAUAGGAAGGAACACCAGUGGCGAAGGCGACCACCUGGACUAAUACUGACACUGAGGUGCG
rnacentral:rRNA from 1 species